rnacentral:lncRNA from 1 species
GAGAUUGUUAUAUUUAGUUUGCGGGGGAGAAGUUUGUAGCAAAGGCCCAAGCAUUGUUGGCGACUGGGUCGGCAAGGUGGUCGUAUAGGUUCUCAAUUGGACCUUUACCGGUCACAAUAGCUUGGACGAAAUAUCCGAACAUCGAGAACAUAGCCAACCGUCCGUUCUUAACCUCUUUGACCUUCAAUUCGGUGAAGGCCUCUGGGUCAUCAGCUAAGCCCAAUGGGUCGAAUGAGCCUCCUGGGUAAAGUGGGUCAAGACCAUCUCCAAGUGGACCUCCACCAACGCGGUAUCCUUCGAUAAAGCCCAUCAAAACAACUUGGCAAGCCCAUAUGGCCAAGAUGCUUUGAGCAUGGACCAAGUUAGGAUUGCCUAAGUAGUCAAGCCCACCAUCUGAGAAGAUUUGAGAUCCAGCUUUGAACCAAACGGCUUCACCGAAUUUAACUCCGUUCUUUGAUAGAAGCUCUGGAAAGACACAACCUAAGGCGCCCAACAUGGCCCAUCUGCAAUGGAUCACCUCAAGUUCACGGUUCUUUGCGAAGGUCUCUGGGUCCGCUGAUAGACCGGCUGUGUCCCAACCGUAGUCACCUGGGAAUUCACCAGUUAGGUAUGAUGGAGUUUGCUCAGAGAAUGGACCCAAGUACUUGGGACGGUCUGCGCCGUACCUGAGAAGUUCCAAAGAAGUAGAAGAGAGGAAGAACAAACAUAUUAAUUAUGCACCUUACUAUGAUACCAUGUUAGAAUGGAUUAUAAGAAGAAAUAACAUGGUCGUACCAAACGCUGUCGGGAGUGCUCUUCACUGUGCGGCGCAUAGAUAUGCGACUCUCGAAGACUCCAACUUUGCGGACAAGUUCAUUUUGUUGCUUCAAGGUUGUCUGACCAACAAAGACAGAUUGAUGAAUCGCAGAGGUGGCCAUUCCUUGAGCUUCAAAAUGGAAGAGAACGAAUAGUUUUUUUUUGCUGUGUUCUUUGAUUUUUCAAACGGACUGGUGUGCUUUUAAAAUAAGUGGUUCAUUCAUUUUAAUGGUCCCCCUAGAUAAAAUUUAGAUUUCAAUUGGAUUAGGAUUUUCAGGAUUGGUCCAUUGUACUGAUGCCAUGUGGAAAACAUAUCUGGUGACAUGGCAUGAGGAUUAGAUUACAGCCAAUUGUGCAAAAGCCAUAUGGCAAACAGAUCUAGUGACAUGGCAAGAAGAUUAGAUUACAACCAAUUGUAUUAAAGUCACAUGUACAACAGUACAAGUCAUAUCUAGAGAUGGAUAAAAUUAAAACCCUUAAUUUUAUUUGUUUAAAAAAACACAAAUAAAAUUUAAAAAAUGAUUUUAAUGCGGUAAAAAAACAAAACAAAAACUAUUACGUAAAUUACUUCAUCUCCUCCAUUUCAAAAUCAGAAGCUACUUCUCCAUCCACAAGCCCAUUCUUUCCUAAUAAAACAGCAGUCAUCAUCAGUUUACCGGCAUCAGGAAAAUCCUUAUGCUGCAUCAAUAAUUCCUGCACAGAAUCACAAUUCAAACUUGGGGAUAAUCGCCUGUUAGUGUGCUCCAUGUGAAUCGGAAAGAUGUUAUCCAAUUCUCCACCACCUUCCACAUAAAAUUUAUGCGAACAUUUGUAAAGAAGUGUUUCUGUUAGAAACAUCUGAGUGGUUUCGUCACUCCAUCCUUCGGUCUGUGAUCUCUGGUGGAGGGAUAUCCAAUUGUCAUGAUCGGCUGCAGUUCGCCAACAUUGUUCAAGAAGAGGUUUAUUCGUGAGAUGGAAUGUUGAGGGACUACAUACAAAGACGUCAAAUGCAAGGAGCGUGAGGUUUGGAGAUUUUUGAUUGAUACAGGUUUCAAUUAAGGUUUUUGCUGAGAUUAUUGUUGGUGAUUCAUCUAGAGUAGCUUCAACAUUGUGAAGCUGUAGCUGCUUUGUGAUCUCUUCCUGAAAGAAUUUAAAGAUAAAAAUUAAAGUAUGUACUCGAUAGACCGACAAAGAGAAAGUCAGUAGUAUAUCUGAGAAUCUCAAAACCCUAAACAGUUUUAAAAUUUUAUUUACAACUAAUGGAGUUUAGCUUUGAAGAGUAAAAAAUUUAAACCUUAUUACGAGUUUACACUUCACAGUCAUUCCAUCAUUAUUAUUUUAUCAAAAAAACCAUUAUUUCAUCUCUCUUCCAUAAUUUAUCAUUUUAAUUUUUUGAAUGAAAAUCAAGCAAUUACGAUAGGCCAUGGGGUAAAUAUAUUAUAGGAAGCACUUCCUAUAAAGUUAGAUAUGGGUACGAUAUCAAGAAAGUCCUAACCGAAGACAAGGGGAAGGUAGAGAGCAGAAGAAAGACAAGGAGAAGAAGUUCGGCAAUCGGCAAAGAUCUCGUUAUCAACCACCUCCUUUCUCUCAUCUCUGAAAAGGCUCUACUCGCUAAAAGAAGGUACGGGUUUAGCGCAUGGAAGGAUGAUAUACUCUCUGAGAACCUCCUCUGGCCAGAAAACCUAAAAGGCUAAAAUUGAAGAAUAGGAUUCAUUAUAUGACAAUAGAGGAGUAAGUCCAUUGAUACAAGUAUCAACCGAAGCUUAUAUUUGUAACACCAUAUUGGGGUUUAGGAUUUAAAGGAUAAGUUAAACCAAGAGUAAUAUACAUAUUAUAGGAAACAAAAAAGUAAAAAACUCAAUAGAAUGAAUUGAUAUUUGAGAAAUCGAAUUAAUAAGGAGAAAUGGAGAAACCAGAAAUUGCAAUAUGAAUUUAAUACCUGUAACUUUAAAAUCUUUAAAUCGGCAUCUAUGCUCUUUAUCUUUGAUUCAAAACCAGCAACUCUUCCUAUCAUCAUAUUAUAACGAAAUUAGAUUGAGGUUAAGAAUUGUGUGUAAAAAUACAUGAUCUCGCUGUUUAUGUUAUUAAAAUAUAUAUACAUAAACAUAAUUAUAUACAUUUUUUUUGUAAACAGAAUAUUUUCAUUAAUAAUAAUGAAGGGUGAUAUAAAUUAUAAUACCCUGGAAUUACAAAGUAGAAGAGAUGACAAAAUGUGGUGGGGUGGAUAGAGUGGUCUCCCACAACUAUCAACCUUCUCCUAUUAGUCCUAUAUAGCAUUUGCCCUUAGUGAUAUAAUAAUUAAGAACUGCCUCAGGAGGUUGGACUCCCAAACCGUUGCAUUGUAGACUUGUAGUCUCCUCCAUUUGUGAGCCACAAGUCCACAACCUCCUCUUAAAGAUUUCGAGUCUGAAAGAGAGGCUGAAGUCACUAUAUUCAAAAAAUUGCUUUAUACUAAAAUAUAUUAUAAAAUUGUCACAACCUUGCAAGGUUUCAGAUGCUUUGAAUACACAGAUAAAAAUUCACAAGUGAUUGUAAUUUAACAAGAAAUUAAUUAGACAAAUAAUAUGAAAUACGCAUCAAGGUUUUCUAUGCGUCUAUGCGUUCAUGCGAUGACAUUUUAAGCAUAUAAGUAUAUGCGUGCAUAUACGCGCAUAUAUGUAAAUAUGCGACAUGUUAUAUUUACAUGUAUUUUUUAAAAUUACCCCUGAUAUUUCCAUAAUAUAUGAAUAAUAUAAUAUAGCAAAAAGUGUUCCAAUGACCCAAUAAAGUUUAAAAGUCUAAAUAGUAAAUAGAAAUUGCAUAACAAAGUCUAAAACUAUAUAAUUAACAAUAGUCUAAGGCUCUAAGCUCUAAGGGGCUUGCUCAACAUCCUCUUCAACUUCAGCUCUAAGGAACGCUCACCGGAGUUCUACUGCUGGUCAGCCUGGUCCGUUAAUGUCCGACGGAAGGGAGGGGGAAGGGAGGAGGAAACUUAGGGUUAUUUUUCUAUGCGUUUUGGUUUUUUUUUUUUAAAUUUUUAUGGGUAAAACCCUAUUAUCCAACCCGACCCAUUGACCCGACCCGCCCCAGACCCGCAAACGCAUAGAACAUCUAUGCGAGGGUCUGGAAAACCGCAUGGUCGUUUAUGCGGCGCAUAAACGCCGCAUAGAAAACCAGGAUACGCAUUAUAAAACAAGCUGUAAAAACACUUGCUUCAAAAAAUACUCCAAUAUUUUAAAAUUGAAUCUUUUUAUUUAAAUGUGCAAUUCUUUGAAUACCCUAGUCUGGAGACAUUGUAAUUUCAAAAUAGGAUAGUUCAUAUGAGGCAUCAAUAAUAAUGGAUUAUGACUUAUGAUAACCAUAUUUUUUAUUAAAUAAAAGAUUAAAAAAACUGCAAUUUUACUAUACCUGCCAUAGCAGAUAUUUUUGCAAGAUUUAGUAAACGCUUUCUUUCUUCUAAGGUUGUUCUAUUCUUUGGUAAUGUAGGAACUAUGUUAUCAUCCUCAACCAAUGAUAUAGAACCAUCACCACCAAUAUCAUCGAUCAAAAGAGCUAGGUCAUGAAGGGUAUUUGAUACAGAAGCAAAUUUAUUUAAAAACACAUCAUGAAGCCAUUGUAAAUCUUUGUGCUGCUUUAAAUAACUAGACAACUCUUCUUGGAAUUCUUCUCCAAGUCGAAAAAGCUUGGAGAAUUGCUUCUGCUGGUAGAAUUGUUUAAACACAAAAUAGCUGAAUCCACCAGUGGGACCAACACUCUCGUUCUGCAUAAGAAUACAAUUUUUUUCAAAAUUAUAUUUGAUAAAAAAACUGAUUGAAUUGAUGCAACUGGCAAUGGUCAAACUAAAUCAUGUUGAGAAAGAAAUAUAUGAUUGUCACCCUUAUUACAAGAAACGGGAGAUAGAAGGAAAAAAAAAAUAUUUGUAGAAGAAAAGAUAUUAAGGAAUUAAAGAAGCCAAAGAAAGUCAUAAUACCAUGAGGUUUCGAAGAAGCCCUACAUCAUGAAGAUCAUAGCAGAUAUUCCACAAUGUUUGAUAGCCUUCAUGCCGUUUUGCAGUUAAGAGUAAAGUAUGUGAAAUCUCUCGAAAAAUAUUUUCUCUUAGCUUAGGAUUAUCCUCAGGUCCUUUACAUAUUUCCUGUAAAAAAUGGAACUUUAAACUUCAAUUUAAAAUAAAACAAUACAUGAUUCAAAUCAUGUAUUGAAAAUGUAAUAAGAAAAUAUUAAAAUAACAUCAAGCUGUAAUUUACUUGACAGAGCAAAGCACACAACGUAUCCCUAUUCACCAUGACUAAAUUGAUUAAAUAAUGAUAAACUACAGAUUUGAAGGCGGCGCUUAAGCACGCUUACCUCUCCUAGAGAAGCGCUUUUUCCAAGGUGGGUUAUUGGAUUGGGUAAAGAUCCGUAUGAUUAUCCGAUUAGAUGUAUUUAAUUAUUUUUAAAAAACAUAAACUAUUUUUAUUACCAUUUUUACCACUAGUCUUUAAGUUAGAUUAAAAUCUUUUAAACGUCUUCCCCAAAACCCUAGAUUUUAUAAAAAAAGCUUUCCCUCUUCUCCCUUGUGACCUCGCCGGAGAAGCCACUCCUCACUGGAUUUCAGCCUUACGUUACUGGAGUUGGCUCCUACUUCGUUUGAAGACUUGCCUCAGCCUCCUCUACGGUUUUCCUCUAUAAGGUAAGUAUUCCCCUUUCUAAAAAACCACCACUUACCCAAACGAGGUUGGCCGGAUUCGAUGUAUCUCCUCUUCACACAGCCUGUUAAUAUACUCAUUCUGAUAAAUCAAUAUUUUAGAUACACUACAUGAGGAAGCGUUCACUCAUGCAUUCAGGUCUGAAUACAAAUCGGAUCCGAAGCAGAAUACAAUCCAAAACUCAUAUAUUUAAAGGGUAAAAACUACAAAGUAAAAACCUGUUUUUUACUACCCCCCUAUUUCUUACACUACAUGUUCUCCAACAUUCUCUCUGGUAAAACUCUCAAGACCACAGACGACAAAUCUGCCGCACCAAUUUCCUCCUCCCUCCCCCCACCUUCUUUUUGAAGAACUUAAGUUUCUCGUUAUUGAUUGAAGGACAUUGCUCUGGAAUACAAUGAAGUUCAUCAAAUAAAAAAAAAUGGAGAUGAGCACUAGGCUCAUCUUGACACUUUCCACUCAACCAUAUUGCUUAAUAAGAAUUAGGUUGUCUGUCUCAGGAAGUAAGUCUUCCAUAUCUGUAUCAUGCUGGUCUUCAAAGGAUGACAACAGCUCUUCUUAAAGCAUUCAGGCUUGAAGGAGAUGCUCGUCACUAGUGCAUGUCUCCCAUAUCUUUCCCUCAUCUUUUUCUUUGGUUUUUUUAAUCAUUUAUAUUAUUAUUUCUUAUACAUGCAUGUUGAUUCUAAUGACACCUAUAUUAAAUGUAAAAUAAUACAAUUAUUUAAAAAGAAAAUACUAAAAUUUCUGCAGCUAAUAUCACAUAAUGUCCACAUGUGUCUCAUUCAAUCACUUUUAAGCGCAUGUCUGAAUAAAAAAAUCUUAAACUAAAUCAAGACUUAUUUUAUCUUGCUUUCUCAUAAAAAUUUAAUAACUGAGAAUAUAAGUCUUAGAUAAUAAUCUAUUCUUUACUACAUGAUAAAAGUAUGCAAAUCUACUUAAAACUAUAUAAAGCUCAAUUGAAAACAUAUAGGAACUUUUCAUUCUUCACGAGUUGGAAAUAAUGAAGAAAUUAUUUUAUAAAAAGUGAGAAAAUGACAAAAAACUAUAACUCAAGUGUAUAAGGAAAAAACAUGACUUUUAUUUUACCUGGUACUUGUAUUCUGUGAAAUCCAUUGCUUGCUUGUACAAAGCAAAAAGAAGAACAUCUCUUCUAUGAUGAUAUUCUUCAAUAAGACUUUUGGAUUCAUCUCCACAUUCAAUUCUUGAUGUGAUUGAAUUCAUAUAUGACUCAAGUAAAAUAUCAGUCAAUAAUUCCAACUGGGAACGUAAAAUGGAUUUAACAGAAAAAUGGGUCGAUGAAGCUUGACUCAAAAGAUGUGUAACAACAUUUGUUAUACUCCAUAAUCCUGUCCGAACUACUGGUUGGCAAUUCCAACUAAUCAAUCCUUCAGGUGAUGGAUACCAUGUUUGAUGUUGCCUUCUAUAAUCUAGCGCACCAUGUACAAUAGUCACACAAGCAUUUGAGAUUUCGUAGGCUCUUUUCAUUUGAACCACAUUGUGAUGGUUUUCACCGACCAUAUAAUGUAUAUGAUGAGACACGCAAGAGAAAAGUUCAUCAAGUUCAGAAAUUUUACUGUAAAAGACUUCGGCAUUAUCACGGUCCAUUAGAAGAACAGUGUGCCUACGAGAUUUGUCGCCUACUAACUGGAUAAGAUCCCAGAGAGCUCCAGAAGUGGGUUCAUUGAAUAAGUGAGAGGAUUGAAACUCAGGCUCGAACCGCUCGGUUGAACGAUUCUGGCUAAGUUGAUUCUGGAAAUCUCUUAGUUGAAUCAUGCAAAAAAGUUUCUCUCCAUUUUCAACGAUAAUUUGCAAAGAAUGCCCUGUUAGAGGAAAAUAAUAUUAAUGAAUAAGACUUAAAAAUGCAAUGCAUAUAACACAGAUUAUCAGUCACAGGCUCACAGCACUAUUGGAAAACAAAUUUUUGUUCAUUCAUUUUAACGACAUUAAAAAAAAUGCAACCUAGCACAAGGAUUUUACCUUUUAGGGAUUUUAAAAUUUAAAUCACUAAAAAGAGAGACAAACGGACCGGACCCACCACUAAAAAGAGAGACUUAAAAAUGCAAUGCAUAUAACACAGAUUAUCAGUCACAGGCUCACAGCACUAUUGGAAAACAAAUUUUUGUUCAUUCAUUUUAACGACAUUAAAAAAAAUGCAACCUAGCACAAGGAUUUUACCUGUUAGGGAUUUUAAAAUUUAAAUCACUAAAAAGAGAGACAAACGGACCGGACCCACCACAAUGAUUUGAAUAUUUUAUAUUAAAAUUAAUAGAAAGGAAGAUAAGAAAAGAGUGCAUACUCUGCUUCAAAGACAAUUCCUCAUGGCACUUUGACAAGGCUAGGAACUGAAGAUACCUUUCGUGUUUCUGUUUCUUGUCUAAAAGUUGUGACACCACAGCAGAAGAAGAAAGAAAUUCUGUACCUCUUGAAGCCGUCCAAUGCUUAGCAAGAGUGUCAAUUAUAGACUUACUCAUUCGAACAAACACAUUAGCUUCACUUUUCUUUUCAAAUGCCCCACUGUUUUCAAGCUUCUCAAAGGCUCCUUCCUCUACUUCCCCAGACAAAAGAAAUUCAUGAAAAAAAUGUCCAAGCAAAACUUCUGAUUCUUCGUCUAAAGGAGUGUAUUGUUGGUUCAAACCUCCAAAAUUGUUGCCAGCAAGAGAAGAAAAACUUUUACAAACAGCAUUGUUUCUCUUAUCUUCUUCGAGAACUCCACCACUCAAGCUCUCAAUACGUGACACACUCCUCGUCGGAGGCUCAACGCUACCAAGUACAAUUGCCGUUUCUGGUAUAGCCCAAACUCCAGCAUUUUCCGUUAAGACAACCCAUGCCCCUUCUCUUUCUCUUUCGUCUUUGGAAGAUGGAAGAAUUGAAACAUCUAGGACUUUGCCACCGUCAAAAGGUAAAUCGAAUUUAUAAAGUUUAAUUGAACCUUGAGAAUGAUUUGUCACGGUUGCCGUUCCAUCGCUAGAGAGUAUGAUUACCGAGCCAUAUGGUUUCCCACCUACACAAAGUUUCAUAGAAAGUAAAACACUCUCAUCUUCAACCUUGGCUUUCGGAAUUAAAACUUCUAGGGGAUGUUUCCUCUCCAAAACUCUUACUGGACUGUAAUCUUCGAUGGAUAUAUUUCUAUCUGCCUUAUAAUGCAGAGUCAAGAGAGAAUAUUGUGUGUAGCUUGAACUCAUAAUUCGAUCCUUACAAAAUGUGGCUACGAGUACUGUGAAUUCUUUACCAUCUCUGUCAAUUUGCAUAUCUAAAAGCCAUAUAUCUUUCUGACCAGCAAGAUUCUUUUUUAUUCCCAACUCGCCAUCUGUACUGACUAUUUCAUGAGACCAAAGGUGGGUUACUUUUGGAUGGUCUGGAGAUUGCAGAAUGAUGUUCCAACAUUGGAUCUCAUGAUCGACUAAUAAAAAGAACUGCCGACUGGAUGAAUCUAUUUCCUUCUCACCUAAUAAGUCAAAGGUCUGAAAACGCCAUGUAAGUGAUCUGGCAUGUGCUUUUUUAUCAAUCUCAGGGCUUUUGAUCAAAACCUCUCUUUGGGUAAUACUCAUUGGAGUGCAAUGGAAAGACCAUAGAUGACCAUUGGAAUGACAAGCAAGGGAUGCAACUUCGUACGAUGAAUUGGGAAUUGAAGAAGAUAUCAUAGAGUUGAUAAGAAAACCAUCAGUGAUUGAAUAUUUUUCUUCAUUUUGGGGUUGCCAUAAGAUUGGAGCAUGGCCAUCUUCAGUGAAAAUAUCAGGCCAGUAGAUUAUAGAUUGAUACUUCCGAUGACAGAUAACCAGCCCAAUGGAAGUUUUCUUUUUUAAUUUAAUUAAAGAAACUAACCAAGGAUUACGAUAAUCACACCUCACAGUUGAAUCAAUGUGUAUGAGUGCCAAAACAGAUGAUGGGAGUUGAAGAAGUACACAUUUUCUUGCAAACGACGGAUCAAAGUAGCUCCAAAUAAAGAUGUGUUCUUGACAGAUCAUCCAUGCCAUACUCGUAGCCCUGUCCAUGCCACCGUAGAAGUUUUUUCUGAUUCCUGUUUCCCAUGCUCAUUAUCAAAACAAAAGGCACAACAAUACACCUUUGAAAUUUGAUUUUUGAUAUAAUCAUAUUUAGAGUACCUGUGCGUGUUUUCUGCAGACAAUUGGUUUGGGCAGUACGAACAAUUUCAGGGAUUUCACCAAUAUAAGUGGGUUGGACUAGAUCAGUGUUGAAAGCAUUUUCUUCGUUCUUAGUUGGAGUUAUUCUGGGUAUAAAAAUUGCGUCAAAAAAAUCAAUGAAACAUCAGAUUCAUAGAAAUAAUAAAUAUGUAAGUAAUAUAUUAAUUAUUAUUAAGUAUAGAUUGCCCAAUACCCAAAAACUCUAGAAUAUUUGUUAUUAUAAUAUACCCAAUACCCCUAGAGAAUUGAACACCUGAAAUGUUGACGUGAUUGAUUUAUUACCUAGCGAGAACUGAGACACGUGAAUUCCACGGAGCAGGAGUACCAGUGGCCGGUCGGCCAUGACCAUUGGAAGAAUCUGGAGCGAAAGGAUCAGGUGCCGGCGUGGAUUGAGAGUCCGACGGUCCAUGAUCCCUGUUCUUGUCCUUGGAGAAUACGAGACGGGACUUCCGAAUCGCAGGAGUGAACAUCGGAAGAUGGAGAAUCGAACCUAGAAUUCAGAUUUGGAGAUGGAGAUGGAAAAAAUCACUGGGAAUUCGCCAGGGUUUUGUUUUAGGGUUUUGAAGUGGUAGGACUGUAGCCUGUAGGUCUGUAGGAGUGAAGAAGAAAUAGGAGUACCGAACAAUUGGGACAAACCCAAAAAGAUAGAAAACAGAGGGAUUGAUUUGUUAUAAAUGUUAAAAGUUUGAAUUUUGGGAUAAUAUUAUUUUAAUACCUAGAAUUUGGAUAUUUUAUGAAACUACUAAUUAUUACAGUUGAAUCUUAAAUAAGAUAUUUAAAUUUUAUGAAAGGUAAAAGGUUUCGAAAAAAAUAAUUUCAUUGUUCACUCACACACUAUCAUUCAGACAAAACUUAUCUUUCUAUUAUAAGUGAAAGAUUUUUAAUCAUUUUAACUAUCCCUCUCCCAACGGUCUUGGAGGUAUUUAUACUAUCCCACAGGUCUUGGAGGUAUCCAACGAUCCAUAUGAAUAUAUUUCUAAAUCUAAGAUUUCAUUUGUUUAAUGAUGUUUUUUCACAAUGAAAAGCAUGAUGUGGUCUAGAUGCACUUGGAUUUUGAGUAAAGAAUGAAUAUAAUCUAUUUCUGGCAUUUCCUUUGAUCAAGACUUCGUUUGUGUUCCUAUCUUUCACAAUCACCUUAGAUAUAUCAAAUUCAUAAAUAAUAUUAUGAUUUUGACACAUUUUCUGAAAAGAAAGUAAAUUCUUAGAUGUGGCAGAAAUGCGUAAAAAAUCUUUUAAAUGUAAUUUUUUUGCAAUUACAAAUAAAAAAAGUAGUUCUUACGUUAUAUGUAAAAUGUUCAUACCUUCUCCAUUUGCAAUUGUGACUCUGUCACCUCUUUUAUAUGGAGCUGCUAGACUAAGGUUCUCAAAAUCAGAAGUGAUAUGAGUUGAAGCUCACGAGUCAGGAAUCUACAUACUAGAGUGAGUCACUUCUUAUGAUUGUAAAGCUACUAUUGCUACUUCAUCUGACAAAUUUCCUAUAGAUCGCGUCAUGGUAGCAAAUCUUUUUCACAUACUCCCUUAACAUUUCAGUUUCUCUUUGUUCAAUGUUGAGUUGGGUCGACGUGCUAUGUGAUCUUCUUCUGAACAAGAAAACUGGGCUACGCCCACGGGAUUAGCCACGGCCAGCAGAAGCCGUGGCUAAUUGUUAGAAAUUAGCCACGGCUUUUUUAGCCAUGGCUAAGCCCGUGGCUAAUCUUUAUAUUUAGCCACGGAUUUUUGAAUCCGUGGCUAAUCCCGUGGCUAAUUUUCCCGGCAAAUUUCCCUCCAAUUUUUCAUUGAAUAUUUAGCCACGGCUCUUAAAAUCCGUGGCUAAAAUUUGCGGCAAAAUUUCCCUCCAAUUUUCCACUGAAAUUUGCCCACGGAUUUAGCCACGGAUUUAGGAGCCGUGGCUAAUUUAGUGACAAAUAAAUUAGCCACGGAUAUUAGCCACGGCAUUUAGCCCUGGCUAAUAAUGAUAAUAGGGUUAGGGUUAAUGUAAAUGUAAAUAAUUAGGGUUAGGGUUAGGAUUAGGAUUAGGAUUAAUAGAAAUUAACAAAAAUUAGUAAAAAUAAGUAUAUAUACAUAUUUAGAUAGUGUUAGGGUUAGAAAUUAGGGUUAAAAGUAAGAGUUAGAAGUAGAAGUUAGGGUUAGAAGAAGUUAGAUUAUAGUUUUUUAUAUAUUAUAAAAUAUAAAAAAUUUAAAGUUAGAUUAUAAUUAGAUAAUUAUAAAAUAUGUGAACCUUAGCGAUGGGGAACUUCAUCAAAAAACAGAUUGUUUAUUUUAUGGUUGGUUCAAAAACCGCUUGAAACCGAUAGAAGAAGAUGAGCGUUUGCGUGUUCUCUCAAAAGACCCAAAUCGAGAAGUGACGUGUUACAAGAGUUACAUUAUCAAUGGAUUUAGAUUUCACAUAAAGAGUGAGGAUAUUUUAAAAAAAACUCAAAACUCUGGAGUGAUGAUAAAGGGAAGUGCAUACGAAGGUCUAGAGGAAAAUAACUACUAUGGAGUUCUUCUUGAUAUUAUCGAAUUGGAUUUCCUUGGCGAUAUGACUCGAGUAGUUAUGUUCAAAUGUGAUUGGUACGACAUCCACAAAGGAACGAAAAUUGACCGUUCGAAAAAUGUAUCGAUCAACAUACAUACUAAACUUAGAGCAUAUGAACCCUUUGUUCUAUCUCAACAAGCAGAGCAAGUUUUCUACGCACCAAAUGUCUCCCAAAAGAAUAAAGAUUGGCAAACUGUCAUCUGAACAAAAGCUAGAGAUCGUUUUGACAUUCCAGAGGAAGAGGGAGAUACAUAUCAAGAUGACUUUAAUGAGUUCCCUUUAAAUCUUCUUGAUGAUAAUAACAUUGAUAAUGUAUCUCUAAAUGUGGAUGGCUCGUUUGAUGUUGUUUCAUUCGCACCUGACCCCACUUUACAUGAAGAGAGUGAGAGUUAUGUCGAAGAUGAAACAGAAAAUUUUAAUUCUGAAGAUGAAUGUUCUAUAUGAGUCGCCUGAGUGAGUUAUAUGUUUUAUACUUUCAUUUUUUUUUCCAAGCAGAAUAAUUUCAUUUUAUUUAUUCAUUUAGAAAAUAUUCCAUUAGAAAUGGCACGCGGACGAAGUCGUAAACGAACAAACGACGGACGAUCACAAUCUGCAAGAAUAGAUCAAGAAAUCGUAGAGGACCGCUUCGAUGAAGAACAUCGAAGAAAAUGGACAAAAGGAUUGAGACAACCGGAUGCACCAACUCCCGCCACUAUUCUUAAGAGCGGGUGAGUAUUAAUUUUCAUUAUAAUUCAUUAUUUAAUUUGAUUGUUUUUUAUAGGACUUUUACAAACAAUGUAAGAAGCCAAAUAGGAAUAUUAGUAAAAGGUAAUAUAACGUCACCUUUAACUAAAUGGACUUCUUGGAAAGAAGAGGAAAAGGAAAAUAUUUUCGUCAAAUUUCUGGUAUGAUUUAUUUAUUUAUUUGUCAUUUUUUCCAUAUGUCAUUUUUUUCCAUAUGUAAUGUUUUCGUCUUUAUGUAGUGCUAUUUCUCAUUUGAGGACAUUCAAUUGGCUCGUGAAUGUUUUGAUAAUUAUGUCCAAUUAAAUUAUACAUGUUGGUUGUAUAAAGCGAGACAAGAGGCAAAGAAAUUGGCAAAAGUUGACACACUUACCAGAUCUUGCGCUAGAUUUCCACCGAUAUACCUUUCUGCGGAAGUAUGGAGUGAAAUGAUUGAAAUGUGGUUAAAAGAAGAUUGGAAAAAAAGAUCAGAAAAAGCAUCAGAAAAUAGGACAAACAAUCCAGAUUACAUGCCAUACACGGGUGGAUCUUGUUCAGUUGCGGCCACUCAUGAAAGAAUGGUAAAAAAACAUUUCUUUCAUAUAUUUUACAUUUAUCAUUCUAAUUUUUUUGAGUAUAACAAUCAGAAUGAAGAAGCUGGUCAUGAAGUUGGUCACUGUGAGGUUUAUAAGAAAACACAUAGUUUGGCUAAGACAAACGACUGGGCCCAUCCAAAGGGAGGAUGCUUCAUUGUAAGAAAAUUCGUUAGAAAUGCUUCGUUUUAAGAUAUUUAAGUCAUAUUUUUUAUUUAUUAUUGAUUUUCAUUUUUAUAGGCUGACUAUAAUGAGCUUCAAAGAAAUGCUAUGGAAGCAGGAAAUUCUGAAAUCAACUCAUCUAAUGGAUCACACACACUCCCUGAUAAUUUAGAAUUAUGGGUCAAAGCUACUAACGGAAAAAACAAAGGUCGUGUGCUUGGAACCAGAGCAAGUGAUCCAAUGCCAUUACCAAUUCCUGAUAAUAUGGCGACUUCACAGAACACAACGACGAAUUAUAUAGAAAUUCAACAACAAAAAAGUAAAGAAGACUUUGAUCGGGCAGUUCAAGAGGCCAUUAGAAAACAGAUGCCGGAUAUACUAAAGGAACUAAGGGAAGACUUACGUCGAGAGACGAUUGAGGUAAUUAGCAUUUAUAUAUAUAUCAAUAUUCAUAUUUUCUUUAUAAUUUCAAUUUUUUUUUACAUUAGGGUCAGUCGAGCCAAGGACGCGACAACAUAAUCACGCCUACUACAAGAGAUUCAAAUGUCGAAAAUGUUGGCAAAAAAGCGACUCAAAGUCCGACUAAAAGUGGGACGAAUAGCGUGACUGACACCAACAAAUAGGUUCCUCUUCUUUUAUCUUUUGGUUUAGUUUUGUUUUGAAUAACAUGAAUUGUAUGAAUGGUAUGUUUUGUUGGUUAUUGAAUGGUAUGUUUUGGAAUGGAAUGGUAUGUUUUGUUGGUUAUUGAAUGAUAUGUUUUGGAAUGGAAUGGUAUGUUUUGGAAUGACAAUAGGUAUGGAAUUGAAUGGUAUGUUUUGGAAUGAUUGGUUGAAUGUUUUGGAUAAUUUUUAGGGAUAUUGAUUGGUUGAAUGAUUGGUUGAAUGAUUGGUUGAAUGGAAUAUGAAUGUAAAUAUAUGUUUGAUUGAUUUUUUUAGGUUAUAUGAAUGUGUAAGACCUUCAAUAGGCGUCUUCUAAAAUGUAAAUAUUUCCUACAAUUUUUUUAGAAAUUAGCCACGGCCUUUUGGCAUUUAGCCACGGAUUUUGGCCGUGGCCCUUCACUUUCUACUCUGUUUGAAGGAUUUAGCCACGGCCAAUUAAGGAUUAGCCACGGCCAAAAUCCGUGGCUAAAUUUAUUUAAGGAUUUAGCCACGGGAUUAGCCACGGAUUUUGGCCGUGGCCCUUCACUUUCCACUCUGUUUGAAGGAUUUAGCCACGGCCAAUUAAGGAUUAGCCACGGCCAAAAUCCGUGGCUAAAUUUUAUUUAGCCACGGAAAAAUAAGAUUAGCCACGGAUUUUACAGUGACUAAUUUUUAACAUUAGCCACGGAUUUUGGCCGUGGCUAAAAUAAAUGGCCGUGGCUAAUAUUAGCCACGGAAAAUCAAUUCCGUGGCUAAAAAUUAGUAGCCACCACACCUACAGCCACGGCCACUCCCGUGGCUAAUUCCCGUGGCUAAAUCAAUUUAGCCACGGAUUUUGCCAUUUAGCCAGUGAACUUGGCCGUGGCUGUUUCCCUGUUUUCUUGUAGUGACCUAAUGACUAUAAGCUUGUCGAAACAUGCUCUUGAUCAACUGAGUGAACAUCUUGAUACUGCCCUUAGGAAGACUUUGGUACCAACAAAUCACUCUUUCUCUCAAGGUUCUUCUGAACAUCCUACACCAUAUGUCCUCUCUAUCAGGCACAUCUUCUAUCCUUGUAACGUUAUGGUCUUUUGGGUCUGUCGCACCGUUAUAGAUGGGCAAUUUGGGCUUUCUCCACCCUUUAGGAUAUUAUUAUUAUUAAUAAUUAUUAUUGUUAUUGAUUACUAUUUAAUAGUUAAAAUUUAAAAACUUAAACUUAAAUUAAAUACUUAAUUAAGCUCUCUAACUCAAGUCUCAAACCCAGAAAUAAAAAAAGUCCUAAACUGAGUGAACAUCUUGAUACUGCCCUUAGGAAGAUUUUGGUACCAACAAAUCACUCUUUCUCUCAAGGUUUUUCUGAACAUCCUAAACCAUAUGUCCUCUCUAUCAGGCACAUAUUCCAUCCUUGUAACGUUAUGAUCUUCUAGGUCUGUCGCACCGUUAUAGAUGGGCAAUUUGGACCUUCUCCACUCUUUUGGAUAUUAGUAUUAUUAAUUAUUAUUGUUAUUAAUUACUAUUUAAUAGUUAAAAUUUAAAGACUUAAACUAAAAUUAAAUACUUAAUUAAACUCUUUAAUCUAUUCUCUAACUCAAGUCUCUAACCCUGAAAUAAAAAAGUCCUAAAUUUGUAUUUAAUAUUUAUUAUUUUAGAUUUAAAAUUAUUUUAUUAAUUUUUUUUUUAUUUGUUGGGCCAGGGCGGAGCAUCUUGUUUUUUCCAUGGUGCCCUAGUGGCCGAUUCCGAGGUAGGAAACAAGGCAAGAGAUUCUGGAAGCUGACCCGUCCCAUUCUCAACCCUAUCUGGAAGUGGGUUUAUUUCUGAAAAAUAAUAGAUGAUGAGAAUAUGAAAUAGGUAAAAAAAUUUAAUUUGAGGCUAUUUUAAUAUAUAUUAUAAAUUUAUCUAUCUGUCCAGAUUUUAGGCUGAUCAGGGCGGUAUUUUUCACUCUGAAUGACUUCAAAUCGGUGCGGGUCGGACCCAUGCUCACUCCCAUAUGCAUAGUAUUGAGGGUUAUUUUGGAUAACCCCUUAAACUAAUUGUUUACCGGAUACAUGAUUCGUAAAAAAAAUGGACGGUUAGAUGUGUUUCAUUUUUGCAUGGUACAAAAAUUAUUGGACUAUCAUGAUAAAGAGAUGGUAACUAUAGUGGAAUCAAUUAAAAAAUGGAAGCACUAUCUCUUAUGCUUGCGAUUUACAGUAAUCACAGAUUACAAUAGCCUAAAACAUCUUUUCACAGUAAUCUCUUUUGCUUGUUCUCUCUACCCCUGAGUGACCCCCUAUUGGACUAUCAUGAUACUCCCUCAUUAUUUUUGGGAUUAAUAUGAACUCUUGGUCUAAGACAUACCUCCUGUUGUAAAAAAUUCUCCCUUCCACCACCAUAAAAUUAAUGUUCCUUUCCAAGUCUUGUUCAAUGCUCACUAUAAAAAAACAGUGUUUUUAUGACAGGUCUCUACUGGCGACCUGGCCGUCGGUAGACUGUACGAGUCCACCAGUCUUAUUACAUCAAUAAUCGGAAUCAGCAAAUUCUUACUGCUGGCCAGGCCGCCAGGAUAAUACAUAUUUGGUGACAACACUACUGGCGAUGACAUAUUGACGGUCGGGCCGUCAGGAUGAAUCAAGUAUGUGCUAAUUAAUUUACAAUAUGAUAAGAGAAUCUAUUAAUUAUUAUUUAAGAUAUGAAGAUCAUAGAAAAUCAUAUAUAUAUAUGAUUUAAUUAUUUCAUCUAUAAAAAACCAUGGAUUAAUCCAUUUAUUCUUCUUAUCUAGAAUAAAUCUUCUAAAUACUGUCAAAAUGGAUUUUGCGAAAUUCUUCAUGUUCUUAUUCUUAUUGGUCGACAAUCUUGUCUCUCUCCCACAAGGUAAAUUAAACCAUUCACUCUUCCGAAAUCUCUUCUGUUCGUAAAUCAGUAUAAUGAAAUCAUCAUUGAGAUUAAUAUUUAUCAAACAUGUUUUCUAUAUGUAUAGGUAGAGUGAUGACGAAACCAACGGAAAUUUAAGCUGAAUUUUUAAAAUAUUGCUGCGAUGAAUUUUUCUCUGCCAGUAUAUGUGUUAUUAUGACAAGGAUGAAUACAGUCAUGCUUGUUAUGAUAAAUGAAUUAUUGUUCAAGAUGUUAAAGCCCACAUAUUGAAGUAGUGUAGAUUUUGUAAUAUUUUUAAUAUAUGGGAAAGUUUUAGAUUGUGUUCCAUUGUAUUCAUAUCGUUGCGUUUAAUUUUGGAAUCUCGAGUUUGAUUUGGGGUUUUCGCUUAAUAUAAGUUCCGUCGUUAAUUUUUAGGUUUUUUUUCAUAACUAAGCAUUUAAUCUAUCUCAUCAUUCUCUGCUUCUGUUCCAACACAGACAUCCACAAUAACUGUUAAUUUGGUUAACUAAGCGGCAAUGGUUCAAAAAAUGAUUUAUUCAGUAGUGUUCUUGUGCCCUCAUCCACUGGCAGAGUGGAAUUAUCUCGUUUUAAAAAUCCAAUUAGAUGGUGCAUUAUGAGGGUAAUUUAGUUUUCGAUAACUUGGAAAUCAUCAGUUAACUACCUAAGUAUGGUUGUAAUAAGUAUUGACUCAAAAAUUGGGUUGGAUUAUUGCCGUCGGUACUCAGGCCCAGAUAAACUGAACCAGGAACCAACCAGACCCCUAAGCCUAGAGGCCCAACCCACCAUUCCACAUAAACUCUAUAAAUAUACCUCAACACCCUUUGCCCAUUGUUAGAAUUCAUAAUAGAAGUGAGAAGGAAAGGAGCGAUUGUAAACAUUAUUGUUGGUGUGAUCAUAUAUUUGUCGUCCCGAGUUAAUCUUGAUCGUGUGUAAGUGUUGUUACGGGAAGGUAACACGUUAGCAUUUACACCAUCACUUAUUGAACUCAAUCUAACGAGCUAAACUUAAGCCUAAUUAGUUCUUAUCGAUAUUAGGGUUUAGAAUGCAGUUUAUCAAGCGGAAACUUGAUGGGAUACUAGAACCAAGCCAUCUUUAUUCCUCAGAUAUUUUAUUUCUCCGACAAUCAUAGCUAAAGUUAGAACUACCAUCACUAUCUAACAUCAUGAAAAGUAAAAGAUUUGAAAAAAUGAUAUCAUAAAAAUCCGCUAUCGAGUUUUGAUCAACAAUCAAGUGUGUUUUAAAUUAAUUUACAGUACUGAAAUGACAAGAGAAUCUACCAGCAAAGAGAUAAGUUAGAUUUAAAGGUCAAGAAGUUUCAAAUUUAAAAUUCUUCAAAAUGCAUAUAUGCAUCCCACAAUGUCAUUUUUCAAAUUAAUUAAACAAAAUCUAGAUAAGAGAUAAUUAAUGAUGUUAUAAACCAGCAAAGAGAUAAGUCAGAUUUCGCUUUCAAAAAAAAAAGUCAGAUUUAACGAUAAAAAAGUUUCGAAUUUAAAAUUCUUCAAAAUGCAUAAAUGCAUUCCACAAUGUUAUUUUUCCUCUAUCUAUAUAUAGAUCUAUCUUUGAAGGUUUAAGAAUUAAACCACAAAUAUAUAAAAAUGGGUAGUCGAGUUCAUGUAAUUCUUUUCGCUUUGGCAAUUUUAUUCACUAGUGUUCUAUCUCCUAAUCUCGGAAAAAAGAUUUAUAACAAAGAGCAAACGAGAAAGCUAUUCAACCCAUUUGUAGGGAUUGGGACUGAUGUUGCUAGCGAAGCUGGUGAACGUGCCACCAAAGGUAUUGGUAAAGAAUUUUUAGGUGAGACCGGCAAAGCAAUUCCAGAUGUUGGUAUCAAUGUUGCUCAAGAGAAAUUGUCUGGAGUCGUUUCUGUUAGUACUGGCUUUAACAUUUGGAUUGGUGUUGCCAAUUUUGCUGCUAUUGCCCUGAUCAAUUCCUUCUAGGUCACUAUUGAAAUGUUUUAUUUUAUUCCAAUUAUAUAUGAGGUUUUUAUUAAAUCUGUGUUGAUUAAUGUUUGGAUGAUUGUGGAUUUGUGAUUUAAACCAAUUUUUGUUAGUAAAUUAUAUAAUAUCAAAUGAGUAUAUGAAUGAAUAUAUUUCUGAAUAGCGACAUCAAUCUAACAUGUUUGUAUCUCUUCAUAGUUGGAUUUGAAGAUAUAUUGUCUGUAAAAAUAGAGCAUGCUUGUCCCUUACCUGUUAUAUCCUUGUUGAUCCAUACCCUUUUGAUCAAGAAUGAGGAUUUUAGGGUAUAAAAAAUUUAUGAUGCCAAUGACAACUUUAACAAUCACAACCACUAGAUCAGAAGUACAAUACCUAGAGCGCUUGAUCGAGAACGUAGAGAUUGAGUAAAAUGAGAAGAGAGGGAUCAAGGACGCACGAUUUUGAAACUAGGGUUUUCUGGUUGCAAAUUUUGAGUUAAGAAAAUGUGCAACGGAAAAAAAGAUGUAAAGUUAGGUUAUUAUAUGUUUGUAUUUAUAUGACAUUCUAUUGGGCUUGAACACUAAUAACAUAAUUAAGAACAUUAAGAUUAACAAUAAUACAAUAUACUUCAAUAGCUAAUAUGAGACUUCAAUAUGAUAAGAUUGAUAUCUUAGCUAGAUUGCAUUCUCUAUCGAAAUCAAUAUGAAAAUGCAGAUUUCUACCCAACUUGUUAAACUUUCAGAAGUUUUGUUGACACUUCCUAUUAAUUCUAUGUUUCAAAAGAUUAUCCGUGUUCUAAACUUCUAAUAUAUUGGAAAAUAUGAGUUGGCAUCACAAGUUUCGUAAGAAAGAUGGAAAAUAUCGUCAUCCUGCUGAUGCAUUACAUUAGGCAAGAUUUGACAAUCUUCAUCCUGAUUUUUCUAACGAAUUACGAAACCUUAGACUUGGACUAGUAAGCGAUUGAUUCAAAAACCUUUUAAUUAUUAUGAUAUAAUCUUUAUUAAAACUUUCCAUAUUUUGCUUGUACAAAAUAUGACAACUUUGUCUUUUUUUUUUAAAGUAUAAUUUGCCAUCCUCGAUCGUAUGUUCUAAACUCCUCAAUGCAUGUUUUCACAUUGUUUACCAAAGAGCUGGUACCCUUACACUUUUGUUUAAGCGAUUAAAUUUUAUUAAAAUAAAGGGCAAUGUCCAUGGUAUCCUUACACUUAUCUCCACAAUCAUUAGUACAAUCAGUCUUCAGUUCAUAACAAGGUCCGAAAAGUGGAUCGCAACACCAUUUUGACAUAGGUGGAGGAUCACUAACUUCCAUUGGUUUCGUCAUCACUCUACCUAUAAAUAUAAAAAUCAGAUUUGAUAAAUAUUAAUUUCAAUGAUUUACGAUCAAUAGAGAAUUUCGAAGAGUGAGCGUUUUAAUUUACCUUGUUGGAGAGAAACGAGAUUAACCAAUAUGAAUAAGAACACGAAUAAUUUCGCAAAACCCAUUUUGACAGUAUUCAGAAGAUUUAUUCUUGAUUUGUAUAUUUAACUUUGCCUUUGAAAUGGUGAAUGUUUGAAAUGGAUUAAUCCAUGGAUAUUUAUAAAGGAAAUAAUUAAAUCCUAUGAUUUUCUAUGCCCUUCAAAUCAUUAAUGAUAGAUUUUCUUGUCAUAUCAGUAUUCUAAAUUUAGAACUUAGAAAAGAAUCCAAUAUAAUCCAAAAGAAUCAAGUUUGGGCUAAAUUUAGAAUAAUGAAAUGACAAAAAUAAUCUAUCAUAUUAAUUUGAAGGUCAUAGAAAAUUAUAUAAUAUUUAAUUUUUUCAUCUAUAAAACCAUGGAUUAAUCCUUUCAUUCAACAUUUCAAAGUCUAAAUUGAAUCUACAAGUCAAGAAUAAAUCUUCUGAAUACUGAAAACAUGAGUUUUGCGAAAAAAAUCAUAUUCUUCUUCAUUUUCGUCAAUCUCGUUUUUCUCCCACAAGGUAAAUCAGUCAUUCUUUUGCUCGAAAUUCAUAUAGAUGUAUGAUAAAAUCAUCAUCGAGAUUAAUAUUUAUCAAACAUGUCUUUGUAUGUCAAUCUAUAGGUAGAGUGAUGACGAAAUCCAAGGAAAGUAUUGAUCAACUCGUCCCAAAAUGGUGCUGCAGUAGACUUUUGUGGGAUACAUGUUACCCAUAUGAGGCUGAGUGUCACGAUGAUUGUAGAGAUAGAUGUCAUCGCGGCCAGGUUUUUUAAAAUGUUCAAAAUAUCCAAGAGUAAAGAACACAUGUUUGCUUGUUUUUUAGAAGAAAAUAAGCCCACAUGAUCAUUUACUACAAGAGAAAAUAAUUUUAAUAAAGAUCGUGUUCCAUUAUAACUUCAAGUUUAGCUUUCACUUUGAUUUUUAUCCAUAAGGGUUAGGUUGUAACUCUUUUUUUUGAUAACAUAGGAUACCUUUUUAUUAAUAGAAAAAUCUACCUUCAAGUGAUAUAUUAAAGCCACAUAUAUAUAUCAUCAUUCAUCGGUUAAAAUAUAGUAAAAAUUAAAUAAAAAUUACGUAUACAGCGAGAAUAAAACCAUGGACCUUCAAAAAGCUUUAAUAUUUGUAUAGAGAAAUUUUAAAAAAGGAUUAACCUCCUUCUCUUAGAGAUAAUCGUCUGAAAGGAAUUUGGUGAGCAAUUGAUCACCAUGUGAUUUUAAGCAUAUGAACAUUUUAUGUAACAUAAUUGAUAAAUUUAUGUAGCAAGGUAUAAAGCUCUACUUCGUCAUCCAAAGAUGCAUUCCUCAAGCUCUACUCCGUCAUCCAAAUUUUGAACUUCCACUCCUUCAUUUGAGACCUCCAAGUGUUCAAAAUCUUUCUUGCUUCCAAGCUCCCAAGUUGCUCAAGCUUCAAAAAGCUUGAAUUACUACGUCCAGACCCUUAUAACUAUUAAAUUCCUGUUGCAGAGAGUCCGUCAGAAGCAAUGUGAGCAAACGCCUAAGUCCGGGAGCGAUUUGGAUGCAUGAGGAGACCGGAGACGUUUCUAGGAUUUUCCGCCUACUAGAGGUUGGGCAUUUAACAAUAUAAACUACCACUAACGAGCGCAAGUGAGAAGGUUUAGAGUAAAGAGGAGUUUUAGUUAAUCUGCAUGAUUAACUGAGUGUAUUGUAUUGAAUUAAUUAAGUGUAAUUACAUUGUUGUAUAUAUACACAUUAACUACUAAUAUUUUACAUUUACUGAAUAACCGAAUUAACUAAUUAAUUUAUAUUUAUAUUUGGGCUGGACUCCUCUGAUCUUGAUCCAUGGUCCAGUUGCUCAACAGUUAUUUCGGUUGAGGAUAUUCCUGCAAAGAUACAUACAAGAUUAGAAAUAACAAUCAGGUCAUUGUUUGACCUGGUUUGUAUUUUGGGUAUUUUACUCAAUAUUUAUUUUAUAAUCUUUAUGUAUCAAAACUUUAUUUAAUAGUUGAAUAUUUAUGAAUUGAUCCUUUUAUAAAAACAACUAUAGUUAUAAAACGUUUUAUGAUAACCUUUUAUUUGUUUUUAUUACUUUAAGGUCCAAACAAUGUUUUCCUGAAACAUUUGCGAAUAGAACCUUGUUGGUUAAAAAACAAAACGGUUUAUUCCGUUUUGUCAUAACCUUUAGGUUCUAUUUAUUACACUUAGACCCUAAGUUUAUAUCCUGUGGUAAAUUGCUACUUUUACCUUAGAUUUUAAUAUAAUCUUAUACUCUCCCCUCAAGCCUUGGAAUACAUGUCAUGAAUUCCUAGCUAGAAUGUUGAAAUUUCAUGCUCUCCUAGGGAUUUAGUAAAAAUAUCUACAAGUUGGUAUUUUGUGCCAACUUGUUUCAAGAUAAUUAUCCCUUUAUCUAUUAUUUCUCUUAUGAAGUGACAUGUGAUUUCUAUAUGCUUGCUCCUCUCAUGAAACACUGGGUUAUUGGCAAGAUAUAUUGCUGAUUUAUUGUCACAGUAUAAUGAGGUUGGAGUUGUUGAUGGGGGUGAAACCCGACCAGUACUCCAAGACGCGCAAGCAAGCGCCAAGCGGGGAACUCCGCGGGAAACCGGACCGGAACUCAAGUGUGCAGAGCUUUGCUUCGCUAGGAAUCCUUCUUCUCCAAAUGACUUGCCUUUAAUGAGUGGGGGGUGCCCUCUAUUUAUAGGGGUUCUUAUGGGGGCAAUAUGGUCAUUUGGGCAGUAACCGCCUAACUGCCAAACUGAUCAGAUUGGGUCCCAGGAUCGACUUUCAAGAGAUCGACUUUCUGGGGGUCGACUUUCCUGGUGAUCGACUUUAUUCAGAAGUCGAUCCCAGGGAACUCGAUUCUCAGGAAAGUCGAUCUUCCUAGGAUUCGACCUGGGACCUCCCCAACCCUAGAAUAGAUACCUUAACUCAUCUUAGGCUAUCCGGACUUCUAGUUGCUGGUAGGUUGUGACCGUGUUCGGGAUACUGUAUCACCAGUACUCCCCCCUCCUCUGCGUAUUAGAUACUUUGGGAUACGUCUUUUAGUACUAUGGUCUGUGUGUCGGACCUUGUACUAUCAGUUGUUAUGUUCAACUUUAAAUCUUUAAAGAGUUGAUGUAGCCAUAAUAAUUGACAUUGAGCUUUACUGAUGGCUCUAUAGUCUGCUUCACAGGAUGAGAGUGAAACAGUAUUUUGCUUCUUGGAUUUCCAAGAAAUUAAUGAUGUUCCUAAGAACAUACAAUAGCCUGAUAGUGACUUUCUACAAAUUAAGCAUGAAGCCUAGUCUAAGUCACAAUACCCAUGAAGGACCAUUUGGUUUUGGCUUUUGUAUAAGAUGCCCUGUCCAGGGGCAUUUUUCAGGUAUCUUAUCACCUUAAACCGUACUUGAUCAGAUGAAUUUCAUUUGGGUUUCCCAUGAAUUGGCUCAGCCAAUGGACAGGGAAGCUCAAGUCAGGUCUAGUGAUAUUUAAAUAUAUCAGUUUACCCACUAAUGACCUAUAAAAGGUUGGGUCUGUAAUUAAAACCUUGGCAUUUUUAUUUCUUAGAUUUACAUGCCUUUCCAUGGGUAUUUUUGAUGGUUUUGCAUCGAUCAAAGCACUCUCUUCUAGAAUGCCUAAUGCAUACUUUCUUUGAGAUUAUGUAUAUCCCUUCUGGUGGAUAUGAGACUUCUAUUCCUAAGAAAUAAGAUAGUCUUCCUAAAUCCUUAAUUUUGAAGUUUUUUCAAUAUUGUUUUAAAUUAAGAAAACUUCUGUUUCAUUGUUGCCUGUAGUGAUGAUAUCAUCAACAUAUACCAAUAGGUAUAUUAGAUUUCCAUUGUUGUUCUUAACAAACAAGGAGUAAUCAGAGGGUGUUUGGGAAAAAUUCAUUUCAAGUAGAACUCCCCUUAAUUUAGCAAACCAAUUCCUAAAAGCUUGUUUUAAGCCAUAUAAAGAUUUGUUUAGUGAUGGGGGUGAAACCCGACCAGUACUCCAAGACGCGCAAGCAAGCGCCAAGCGGGGAACUCCGCGGGAAACCGGACCGGAACUCAAGUAUGCAGAGCUCUGCUUCGCUAGGAAUUCUUCUUCUCCAAAUGACUUGCCUUCAAUGAGUGGGGGGUGCCCUCUAUUUAUAGGGGUUCUUAUGGGGGCAAUAUGGUCAUUUGGGUAGUAACCGCCUAACUGCCCAACUGAUCAUAUUAGGUCCAGGGGUCGACUUUCCAGAGAUCGACUUUCUGGGGGUCGAUUUUUCCUGGUGAUCGACUUUACUCAAAAGUCGAUCACAGGGAAGUCGAUCCUCAGGAAAGUCGAUCUUCCUAGGAUUCGACCUGGGACCUCCCCAACCCUAGAAUAGAUACCUCAACUCAUCUUAGGCUAUCCGGACUUCUAGUUGCUGGUAGGUUGUGACCGUGUUCGGGAUACUGUAUCACCAGUACUCCCCCCUCCUCUGCGUAUUAGAUACUUUGGGAUACGUCUUUUAGUACUAUGGUCUUUUAGUACUAUGGUCUUUCUGCGAUAGGGGCUGAGUGUGCUUCCUCGUCUACCCACGUUCAUCCGUGGGUGAGGACUAUUACUUGAAUACUUGGCCCCUCCUUUUGCUCGCCUUUUUGCGACUGAGGCUAAGUGUGAUUCCUCGUCUACCCACGUUCAUCCGUAGGUGAGGAUUGUUGUUUGAAUACUUGCCCCCUCCUUUUGCUCGCCUUUUUGCGACUGAGGCUAAGUGUGACUCCUCGUCUACCUACGUUCAUCCGUAGGUGAGGAUUGUUCUUUGAAUACCUGCCCCCUCCUUUUGCUCGCCUUUUUGCGACUGAGGCUAAGUGUGACUCCUCGUCUACCUACGUUCAUCCGUAGGNNNNNNNNNNNNNNNNNNNNNNNNNNNNNNNNNNNNNNNNNNNNNNNNNNNNNNNNNNNNNNNNNNNNNNNNNNNNNNNNNNNNNNNNNNNNNNNNNNNNNNNNNNNNNNNNNNNNNNNNNNNNNNNNNNNNNNNNNNNNNNNNNNNNNNNNNNNNNNNNNNNNNNNNNNNNNNNNNNNNNNNNNNNNNNNNNNNNNNNNNNNNNNNNNNNNNNNNNNNNNNNNNNNNNNNNNNNNNNNNNNNNNNNNNNNNNNNNNNNNNNNNNNNNNNNNNNNNNNNNNNNNNNNNNNNNNNNNNNNNNNNNNNNNNNNNNNNNNNNNNNNNNNNNNNNNNNNNNNNNNNNNNNNNNNNNNNNNNNNNNNNNNNNNNNNNNNNNNNNNNNNNNNNNNNNNNNNNNNNNNNNNNNNNNNNNNNNNNNNNNNNNNNNNNNNNNNNNNNNNNNNNNNNNNNNNNNNNNNNNNNNNNNNNNNNNNNNNNNNNNNNNNNNNNNNNNNNNNNNNUCUUCCGUAGGUGGGGUUCACUUUUGAGUACAUCCCUCGUCUAACACUACGUUUCCUUAGGUGAGGUUCACUCUUGAGUACAUCCCUCGUCUAACACUACGUUUCCGUAGGUGAGGUUCACUCUUUAACCGAUGUGUUCCCCGUCUAACCUACGUUCUUCCGUAGGUGGGGUUCACUUUUGAGUACAUCCUUCGUCUAACACUACGUUUCCGUAGGUGAGGUUCACUCUUGAGUACAUCCCUCGUCUAACACUACGUUUCCGUAGGUGAGGUUCACUCUUUAACCUUGGAUGGGAUACGCAUCCUGACUCUGUUACCAUUAAGACUUUCUCUGCCCACGUUCUUCCGUAGGUAGAGUUAAUUUGGCGUCCUACUUUGUUACUGCGUCCAGUAAUGGUAGGAGUUCAAAUAUCUUUAUAUGGCUCAGCUCAUUUUGCUGUCGUAUCGCCGCCCGAGUUGUGGACUUCCACGAUUCCUCAGGAGCAUUUCAUGUUACACCCUCCUGUCUUGGUGUGUCUCCGCAACUCCAACUUGUCUGGGUUCUUUUUUUUCUGCACCCCUUUUAUGUGGGAAGAAAAAGUCGAUCCCUUGUUGAUUCUGCUCGACUUUUGCGAAAUGUCGAUCCCUUAUCGAGUUUGGUCGACUUUUGCGAAAUGUCGAUCCCUUGUUGAGUUUGGUCGACUUUUGUCAAAAAGUCGAUUCCUGAUGCUUUUGGUCAAAAGUCGAUCCCUUGUGUUAAAAAGUCGAAUUCGUCAUUUUUUGUCCUUUUGUGAUGUCCUAGGGUCUAUAAAUAGGACCCCUAGGUUCUCCUUUUCCUUCAUCCAUGGCUCUUCUUGUGAGUCUCUUUGCUGAUUUUUUUUUUCAGGGAGAGAUUGAGGAGCUGGAUCGAAUUUUGAAUAUUUUGGAUCCUCGGUCGUCAACCUUGGACCUUCCUUCUCUGCGCCAGCUUAUUGUUGAGCGGCAGAGUGUUGCUGUUGCUGCUAGGGAAUCAAUUUUUGAAGAAUGGUCUGGUGGCGAUCUUCCGCCCGCCUCUUCUUCUGUUGUCCCUCCUCGUGGCCGACGUCGGAGGCGUCCCCGUCGCGGUGCUUCCCCGCUGGAUCAGGUCACUCGCCGCUUACGUCGCCGCAUCAAUUUUCAUUAGGAACCUGUAAUAUUUUUCAUUCAUCAUUUUUUGUAACUUUGAAUAAAUAUACUUUUACCUUUUCCUUUAUUCGACUUACACCUUUACUUUGAAGUACGUUAGUGUAACCGAUGCUUUCUUUUGGUCAAUACCAUAUUCUUUUGUCCUUUUCUGAAGAUGUCGGAUUUUUGACAACGAGUCGAUCUCAUUUCUCCCUGGAAAUGUCGACGUUGUUCAAAAAGUCGAUCUCAUCUUUUUCUGAGGAUGUCGAUGACUGCCGAUCCUUUUCUGAAGAUGUCUGGUUUCUGACAACAAGUCGAUCUCAUUUCUCCCUGGAAAUGUCGAUGUUGCCCAAAAAGUCGAUCUCAUCUUUUUCUGAGGAUGUCGAUCAGAGUAGUACGGAAUGUCNNNNNNNNNNNNNNNNNNNNNNNNNNNNNNNNNNNNNNNNNNNNNNNNNNNNNNNNNNNNNNNNNNNNNNNNNNNNNNNNNNNNNNNNNNNNNNNNNNNNNNNNNNNNNNNNNNNNNNNNNNNNNNNNNNNNNNNNNNNNNNNNNNNNNNNNNNNNNNNNNNNNNNNNNNNNNNNNNNNNNNNNNNNNNNNNNNNNNNNNNNNNNNNNNNNNNNNNNNNNNNNNNNNNNNNNNNNNNNNNNNNNNNNNNNNNNNNNNNNNNNNNNNNNNNNNNNNNNNNNNNNNNNNNNNNNNNNNNNNNNNNNNNNNNNNNNNNNNNNNNNNNNNNNNNNNNNNNNNCGACGCCUAUCCCCCUUCUGGGAAUGUCGAACUCACUUUUCUGUGGAAUGUCGAUCCUAUCCUUCUCUUUUGAAGGCAUCGAAUUCCUUGUCAAAUGUCGACGCCUAUCCCCCUUCUGGGAAUGUCGAACUCACUUUUCUGUGGAAUGUCGAUCCUGUCCUUCUCUUUUGAAGGCAUCGAAUUCCUUGCCAAAUGUCGACGUCUAUCCCCCUUUUUUGGGAAUGUCGAACUCUGAGGUCGACUUCCCUGGGAUCGACUUCUGAGGUCGACUUUCCUUAUGUUGCUAGUCCGAUUCCCUGAAGUCCGGAUCGACUUUUCUUGGGAUCGACUUUUGUUAUAACUUGGGCUGACUGCUAUGUUCUUCGUGCAGGUUCACAAUGUCUUCUGACAAGAAUUCGCAGCAAGAUCUUCCUCUUGAUGAGGAUCGGGCUAUUGUUACCAGCCCUCAGACUUCUCACGCUGUUACUGCCGUAAUAGAGCCUGUUCCCAUCGAGGUUCAGGUUCGGGAUG